UUUGGAGAUUGGUCCGUAUCCGUACAUAAUGAGUAUAUAGUAGACAUGCAGAAAAGUGCCUAAGACAUAUUUAUACACUUAAAAGCAUAAUUAUAAAGCAAGCAGCACCCAUGUAACUAACACCAAGUAAAGAAACUGAGGACUACCAGGCCCGCAAAGCCCUCCUGGGCCCCGUGCUGGCCGGAGGUAACCAGAAUCCCGAGCUUUAUGGAGACAUUCUUCACUUGUAUAGUUUUACCAAGGGAGGUCUGGAUGUUUAGCAGGACGGGUUAUUUCUGGCCCUUCUGGGAUGGUGGACGAAUGCAUUCAAUCUGUCGGUAUCUUGUGAUUCCUUUGGCUGAUGUGACAUUUGUGAUUCUCCCACACUGCUGGAAGGAGGGAAGGUUGGUGGUUUUUGUGUCAUAUAGUAUUGUUUCCUGAAUAUACAAGCAUGUUGAUACUGUUUGCAAUUAGGACAAAGGCUGCUUCAAGCCUGUGGCCCGUGCACGAGGGCGCAGAGUAAGCAGGAGUGCGUGCCCUCGCCUUCCGAGGAGUGACACGCGCCCCACCUCUCUCCCACCAGGAGCGCAGGAGCGGCCGCAGCCUACAACCCAGUGGACGCUGGGUCUUGUCAGACUUCAUGACUGUUGCCAGGUUCAUGGCAGCGUGGCGGCAUCAACUUUGGCUUACGGCAUUGUCCCAGUUACUGAUGAGGACGAGUCUCUUCAUGUGUUCGCUAGUCACUGGGAUUUCCUUUUCUAUGAAGUGUUUGUGCAAGUGCUUCUGCCAACUUCUCUUUUGUGCCGUCUUUUCCUUACCGAUUUGUAGGAGCUCUUUACCUAUUGUUUGGAUUAGUUCUUUUGGGUUCUAUGUCUUGCAAAUGUCUUCUGUCCCACUGACUCGUCUUUCACUUUAGAUAAACAGUAGUUCUUGAUUAAAAAUUUUUUUAAAAUCAACUUCAUUGAGAUAUACUUUACACAAAGUAAAAGGCACCUAUUUUAAGUACAUAGUUUUAUAAGUUUUAACAAAUUUAUGCACUGGCGCGACCACCACCAUAAUCAAGAUCUGGAAUAUUGUCACCCCAAAAUGUUCCCCAUACCCCUGAACACAUACAGCCUAUGAUCUGCUUUGGGCCGCUAGUGAUUAAUUU
rnacentral:lncRNA from 1 species